UUACGAGCGUUAUCUUGGAAUUCUUUAUGCCAUCUUCUUGCUUGUCGAGAAACUGAUUGAAGAAAAUCAAAUCGAGAAAAUUAAUUCGAGACGAUGACGAAACUAUUUCGAAGCUUUAAUCUUUUAUCAAUUAAAUUUAGAUUUAAAAGCGUACGAAAGUCGAGGCGUAUAACAUUCGAAACGCAACUAUUUACAAUAAUUACACUGCUUAUACGCGAUAUGGGAUACGUUGAACUUUGCGAAGUGAUAAUGUGUAUAACUAUUCCUCGAAUGAGUCAUCGUACCACGUAUCUCGAGAACGGCCUUUCUAAACUCUUUGACGUCAACUAUAAUUCUGAGCUCUAACAGAGAAAGAAAUAAUUGCAGGCGACGUUUCGUGGCGGAAAACGACGCAGGAAGCGGAGGAUCAUGACCUGAAUCUCGUAAUCUCGGGUCUUGGACCUCGAGUCACUUCU